rnacentral:rRNA from 1 species
GAUGAACGCUGGCGGCGUGCCUAAUACAUGCAAGUCGAGCGAAGCGGGGACGGGUGAGUAACACGUGGAUAACCUCCUAUAAGACUGGGAUAACUUCGGGAAACCGGAGCUAAACCGGAUACUUAUAGCUGGAUCCGCGCUGCAUUAGCUAGUUGGUAAGGUAACGGCUUACCAAGGCAACGAUGCAUAGACGACCUGAGAGGGGCAUCACCCCCCCUGGAACUGAGACACGGGCCAGAAUCCUCCCAGAAUCACAACUACAAAAUCUUCCGCAAUGAACGAAAGCCUGACCGAGCAACGCCGCGUGAGUGAUGAAUUUUUUCGGAUCAUAACACUCUGUUAUUAGGGAAGCGGUACCUAAUCAGAAAGCCACGGCUAACUACGUGCCAGCAGCCGCGGUAAUUC